AUUGAACGCUGGCGGCAUGCCUUACACAUGCAAGUCGAACGGCAGCACGGGAGCAAUCCUGGUGGCGAGUGGCGAACGGGUGAGUAAUAUAUCGGAACGUGCCCCGUCGUGGGGGAUAACGUCGCGAAAGCUACGCUAAUACCGCAUACGAUCUAUGGAUGAAAGCGGGGGAUCGCAAGACCUCGCGCGAUUGGAGCCGCCGAUAGCAGAUUAGGUAGUUGGUGAGGUAAAGGCUCACCAAGCCGACGAUCUGUAGCUGGUCUGAGAGGACGACCAGCCACACUGGGACUGAGACACGGCCCAGACUCCUACGGGAGGCAGCAGUGGGGAAUUUUGGACAAUGGGCGCAAGCCUGAUCCAGCAAUGCCGCGUGCAGGAUGAAGGCCUUCGGGUUGUAAACUGCUUUUGUACGGAACGAAACGGCGAGCUCUAAUACAGUUUGCUAAUGACGGUACCGUAAGAAUAAGCACCGGCUAACUACGUGCCAGCAGCCGCCGUAA
rnacentral:rRNA from 1 species